UAUGAUCAAUGAAAUUAAUUCUUAAUAAAUUUGUGCGUAAUGUAAAUUUAGCCCAUCCCAAUUUGAAAUCCUAGGGUCGUCCCUGGAUAUAACCAAGCAAGAAAAUUUCAUAAUAACUUAGGUUUCUCCUUAUUUGAUCAACCAGAAUUUAGGUAUUCCACAAUAAAAACUCAUGCAUGGCUUCUUUAUAAUCAUCAAACACAUCCUAUAGGUUUUUCUCAUAUUUCUC
rnacentral:lncRNA from 1 species